rnacentral:rRNA from 1 species
GAGUGCGAUCAUACCGGCAUUAAUGCACCAGAUCCCAUCAGAACUCUGUAGCUAAGCAUGCCUAGGCUAGAGUAAUACUGGUAUGGGUGACCUCUAGGGAAGUCCUAGUGUUGCACCCU